CUUCCACUCAUUCGGGAAACCCAGCGGGAGUUUGAAAACGAUGUGCCGGGAGUCAGGCGUCCUCCACCAGUGUAGCGAGGCUCGCCGGCCCGGUCAGCUGACAGCUGGUGAGCCGAGCCGGCUGUUAGCGUAGUGGGAGCGGAGGUCCCACUGCUUAGUUGCAGCACCUUUGCAACUAAGCAAUAUCUUGGUAAACCGAGCAGAUAUUUAAGCCAUUGCUACUUCCGUUUCAACAAUCUGCUUCGACCCGCAAGGAAUCAUGGGAUACGGUGGGCCACGGAAAAUACAUCGGGAUCCAUCCUUCAAAUCUGGGGAAAAGAGGACACAUUCGUCGGCCGCAUUUUUGGAGGAGCCACAGCCUGAGUCGCAUCGCUGUGACGUAAUUGGCUUCGAAGGACGCAACCCCUGAUUUUAGACCCAGCCCACAUAUUUCAUCAACUGUUCAUUUCAGCGGCAUGAAUUUACUUUUCAAAAUAUUUUAAUAAUGUUUGCUUUCCAUAAAUGUAAUUGAAUUUAUCAUUAACAUUUUAUGUCACAGGCACUUUAAGAUUGCAGUUUACUUCAGCAAACCAUGGCGUUUCUUUGCUCCGUCAUUAUCUUCCCAUAAGUUGUCAUUAAUUAAUCAUUAAUCUAAAUUUUCUUAUGAUUUUGGACUUCAUGUAUGUUUAUAAGAAAAAAAUAUAUUAUUUGACAGUAGUUUCUAGGUUUCAUAGAAGCACUGGUUGAUUUCCGGUUUCACGGUUUAUCAUAUUUUUAAAAGGUCAGGGUUACAACAGAAUGCAAACUGUCGAAAAUAUUUCUGUUUUUAAAAAAAGACAAGCCCUCAUGGCUUAGAUACCAGAAGAGCACUACCCAUCACUCUUCUUAAUGCAACACCUUUUUGUAAUGCCUACUUACAAAAAGCUACAACAGUUAGCAUACCUGUCAGUAAAAUGAAUGCAGACAACAUUAAAUAGCUGAUAUCAACUUGUCAGGUUCCAAAAAAUAUUUUAAAGAAAACCCAAUAGGGAAAAAUAACAAAUAAUUGGCAGAAUAUGGGUAAGUCAUACAAUGUUGACAUGAAAAAUGAAGGAGGGUAAAACCUCAUGUUUGGUGGUUGCUAAACUUAUACUUAAAGCAGUUUAUGAAUCCGCCUCUAUUGUUUCAAUUACUUAAAACUUAAAAAAUGGCUUUGGCCAUGCAAAGAUGAGCCAGGCCAACCUAACAGUAAGGAAGAGCAUUCUAGGGUUUCAAACUGCUCCUUCUGGACGCCCAAAGACUGCCUGCUGGAGAUAGGCACUAUAACCCCCUGCAAGGAUAGGUAGCCCUACACAAUGGAUGGAUCCAAACCAAUCUGGCCCUAUGUAAUAAAAUAACUACUCCCUAAACCUAAUAACUGGUUGUGCUACCCUAGAAAAUAACAACAGUCAAUGAUUCUUUGUAAAAACUAGCAAUAAUCCUUUAAAUAUUUACUUAGGAAUUUUAACUUACUCCUUUGUAGAACUGUUUAAAUUCAGCCAGAAUAAAGGGAUUUUAAGCAUGAUGAUGAUGAUGAACACUUGACAGGCAGAGUCAGAGUUCUCAAUCAGAUUUAGGUCCAGACUUUAACUAGGCCAACUAGAACCUUCUGUUUUGAGCUUUUUAGAUUUGGACUUGCUUGUGUGUUUUGGAUCAAGGUACUGCCGCAUAAUGCAAGUGCACAUGAUACUCACAUCUAGGAUUUUCCUGUAGGGAACAGAAUUCAUGGUUCCAUCAAUUACUGCAAGUUGUCCUGAAAUUAAAGCAGAAAAGUGACACAUAAUGCACAUAAUGUCAGGUUUUGUUAGAUAACUUUUUUCCCCUUAAUAUAUUAAAUAUUUUAAAAAAAACAAAAAAAACUCCAGCUUUUUGUGUUUAUGAAAAAGCAACAAAAUGAGCAACACAAGGUCAUGACUUCAAACUUGAGCUUCAACAUAUAAAUAACAGGUCAUAAUUUUAAAAACCUGCUGGUGUGUUUUGGCAAAGAAGCCAAACUGAACCGAAUAGAUCAGAUAUUAGCAGUUUUAUUUGCUGUCUGCAUCUUCUUGGUUUCCAAUUGUGUUUUGCAAAGGCUUUUAAAGACAAUCUAUUUGAUUAUUUAACUGAGAUGCAAAAUAUUAUCAGCUCUUCAACAGAUUUGUGUGAUGUUUUCAUGCGACUUAGCAUAUCGGUGAAAAUCAGAACAGGAAUUUGAUGCUUACUCACAAGUUGAGCAGCACUUGUUCUCUUCAUUCACACUAAGAACACAUUAAGCUUUGGUGAAAGACACACAGGGAAGGAGAAUUGCUUUGACAUGCACAGAACCCUCAGAUCCAGUAGAUAAAGCCUGUGACAGCUGCUCUGGUAAUUUGCCUGUAGGUUCAAGGAGCUUACUUGCCUGCCUGGUUGAGCACAGCUGUAUAACUGCUUUAUUGACUUUAAUAUCAUGAAACACACAACUAUUGCCAGUAACAGGAAGACAUGGGGCUUGUUUGGAGAGAGACAAGCAGGUGACUGAACACAAAGCAUACAUCAAAAGGAGCAUUUUACAUCUACAGCAGUAAAAGAAGGACAGUUUUUAAUGCAGGUAUUUUAUCUUGUAAAAGUAUUUUUAUUAAUAAUCUCAAACAUGAUCGAGCAGUAGUUUUCAAAGAAGCAUGAAUAUGAAGAGUGAGAAAUGUAACAUCAGGCUGUGAUGUAGCCUCACACAGAGGUGUGAGAAACAGAAAUAAAAGAAGGUAAAGUUUUGUGACCAAGCUGAGGAGGGGUUUAAAAAUAAAGAUAAAUCAUAAAAAAAUAAGAGAGAAAAAAGUUAUAGUAAAAAAAUGCAAACACAAUUUGUAAAAAGGUUAGCUUUACAGACUGUUAGGAGCUCCAUGUUCCUUAAUGUGUAAUCAGGUUAAUGAAGAGGGAUUCCUUGGAAGCAUGAAAACUGGAGGAUCCAAAUUCUGGAUUUGUUUCUGCUUGUGUGCUGAAGCCAUUAGUUCACAGCAGAAAACAAAAUCUACUUUUCCAGAGCAGCCUCAUGAGAAUACUCCAAACUUCUUCUAGAUGUUCAACCAGUUUGCGGAUUGUAAAAUUUCAUGUAACAUUUUGAUGUGAUUCAAUUUAUGCCUUUGAUUUUUGAUUUUUUUUUUUCCCUUUUCGUGAUCUGUCUUUGAAAGUCUAAACAUUUAAUUUUGCUUUGAUGUCUCAGAUCCCCUGUACCAAUAUUUUUUCAUUCAAGCAGAUCAUAACUACAACUGCCAUUGUAAAAAUCUGUAAGCAAACACAUUAAAAUUGAUUUUGUUAUACAG